UGUGUGCGUCUGCGUGUGUCUGCAUGUGUGUCUGUAUCUGCGUGUGUCUGUGUGUGUGUGUGGGUGCGCACGCGUGUGGGGCGGCUGCUGGAGUCUGUGCAGUGCUGCUGGGAGUGGCCUAGGAGGUGGCUCCGCCAGACCAAACAACCCCAGUGCUUCAAGCUCCAGGCUUUUCUCUGACUCUGUUUGCUUUCUUUCUCUCCUUUCCGGUUCCCCUUUAACUGGUUCCUGCUUCCAGUGAGCAGAGCCGGAGGGAGGCCCUGGCAGGGGCUGUGAUGCCACCGAGGGACCAAAAGGACUAUUUGGGAGCAUUUGAGGGGCAAGGGACCCUGAGGCCAGCCAUGCCCAGGCCUCAGGCCUCCAGGGUUCCAUUCAGCCAGCAAGCUCCAGCUUUCCUUUGCCUGAAGUCGAUAUCAUCACCGGUAGACCUGUGUGUGACUCUACCAGGAAAGGACCUUGCUGCCCCUCCACGUUCUGCCUCUAGCAAACCCAGGAAAGGGAAAUCAAGGUGAAAUCUAAGGAAGGGGGGCGCCCAGGGCAUCACUGUGGCUGGGUUUAACUUGAAUCCUCUGCCUUCAUUGGAACCCACCGUUUAGCACAACAAGGGUUACAUACGUAAGUGGACCCUGGUCCUAUGAAAAGUUCCAUCUGCUAAAUGGGAAUGUUUCUUUAGGAAGGGGUUGCUCCUUAAAGCCCAUUCCUCCCAACUAAGCAAUGCCAACGCCCACUCUCUGCUCAGGCAGACCUCUCUAUGACGAUGCCCAGAAAGCUGGCCAGUGCAGCAUAAAGCAGUCCUCUGUUUGCCCUUGGCCUUGGGUGUAGCCUCUAGCAGUUCCGUAGGACGCACAAGGCCGCUGAAGGCCAAUUGAAAUGUGAUAAGUUCUGUAAGCAGGGACUGUGCCCCUGACCCUGGCCAGCUGCUUCUCCAGGAUUUGAAACAGCUGGUCUAGGCUGCAAGGGAACCUGGUCCCAAGGACGGUGGCUAACUCCAUGUGGCCCACCCCUGCUCCAAGAAGCCCAAGCCCAAAACUCUCAAGGUCCUCCCCACACCCUGGAAAGCACGCCUCUAGAGGAACAAGAACCUUCUAGAGGUAGAAGGAUGUUGCUCCCUCCUCGGACAGAGCUAGAUAAUUACUGCAGCCUCGCUAAGAACAAUGCUUCCAGAGCCUGGUGUGGACACUGAAGCCUUGGGGGGGCAAGGAGCUUACCCUGGGCUCCUUCCUCUUCACCUGCUGCCUCCCCAAGAAGGGGUCUUAAUUUGCCCCCCCCCACCCUCCCACCCAAGGAGGCUGCUCACAUCCUUGAGCCAAUGUGUGGUGCCCUCUGCCUGUUGCAGGAUGAGACAAGCAACACAGUCUCAGAAGCCCCACCCCUGCAUCCUCCCGGUGCGCCCCUCCCAGGGGGUGGUCCUGGGUUGGCACAUUAAACACAGCCAAGUAGCCAGGGAGCCAAGGCUGAAUGACAGGAAAGGCUGAAGCCAGGGUGGCCCCUCGCCUACCCGCCCAACCCAGCGAUUCAAAGCAAGGCUGAGGCCGGAUAAAGCACUUGAAAAUGUCAGUCAGGGAACAAUCUCUUUCCCAAACUCCCUGCCUUUGACCUUGGGCACCCAGCCCUGACCUUGGGACAGGCUGAUCUUUUUCUCAGCUCUGCCGACUCCAUCCCCAGUCCCUUCAAACAUACACACGCAUGCACGCACGCACAAGCACACACCGUGACAACUGGACUUUUUGCUGUAAUCACAGAAUUACAGAACUGCUCAUUUGCGGGGGCCAAAAAGUGGUUUAUAAGCAGACCACACUGGGUCCCAGACAGCCGGAACCAACAUUCUUCUGAGCAUUUAAAAUGGUAAAAGCGUCAAGAAAGCCUGUGGCCAAAAUGGACGGGACCCCAGGGACCAUCUGGCAGUCCCCAGCCUUCAUUCAUUUGAGCAGUUUGUAACUUUCAUCUAAUGUAUCUUUAUGUAUUUUUUCCCUAAUGUAGGUGAAAAUAACACACAAGCCUCGUCAAAAUGAAGAUUACUAGUCCACGUGGCCCCAUCUCACCAGCUCCCAGGGUGGCACAUACCGCUUUGGGAAAUACUACCUUGGCCCAAACUUGCCAUUGUAGAGAUGGGGAAAACUGAGGCCCCGAGAAGGGAGGAGACCUGUCCGACAUCCACAGCAAGUUAGUGGCAGGGCCACCACCAGAUCCCAGCGCCCUGUUCCCAGAGAGUCUCACUCCUUAGGGAGAGAAGACCCCAGACUCAGGUCACUGAGACCCCCAGGUGCCCCUGUUUGCCAGAGAAUCGGAGUGCAGGCUCCAGCCUUUUCUCCAAGGCCUCGCCCUUGUCCCAGUUAUCCUCUGACCCCUCCUGGAGCUGACAGCCCCCAAGCCGCCUCCCUGACGGUAUGGGAAAGCUGGCCUUUUCCUUGGGAUUGGUUUCCUUAUCUUCCAUGGCUACAGCGAAGAUGCCAUGCUCCUGGGCAUGAGCGCUCUGAAAAAAGAUGACAACAGAUAUGGGAGAGGGGGCUGUUAGCUCCUUGCUCCGUGCCUCAGCCUUUCUCUCUGGGAAAUAGGUACAGGUUUGCGGGUGUGAGAAGGCUGAGCUGGGCUAGAGGGAAAGGAGCGAAGGAGAAUGGUGGCCACGGGGAUGUCCCCGCAUGGAAGGACCGGCACCAACUCAGCUGGGGUGUCUCCUCACCCCCCGAAGACCCUCCUGGGAGGCAGCCAGCAGGCUCCCAGGCUCAGGGAGAUAGGUAGAAGUCUGCCCAGGCCUCUGGCCACAGGAGGCCAAGAGGGAGGCCAAUCUAGCACUGUGAACAGGGCCACCACCGACCUGCAGACACACUCACGCGCACACACUCAUCCACACGACACACACACACACACAGCUCAGACAUUCACGCGCGGUUUUUGACACACUCUCAUUUGCGCAGAUGCAAAUGACCCCAACCCUUCCUACCCCCCACUCACCCUGGGCACACAGCGGGGCCAGCCUGCCUCUUUCCUCCCCCCCAGUCCCAAGCCCCAGGCCUGGCGGCGUCUCUGUCCCGCUGCCUGGGAGACACAUGUGGUUUCAGUUAGCAGCAGAACGGGCAUUUCCGUCCCAGACAGCCGGGCCCUGCCAGGGCCCCGGCCCCACAGGCGCCCCCAAGAAGGACCACUUCGACCCCCACUCCUCCACUGGCCACACCAGCGACCCCAGAGGGCCCUCUCCCCAGGAAGACCCUGUUUUCCUCUCCCAAGGUCUCCCCCUCACCUGGAGCCAGAAUCCGCACCCACUCGCUCAGGGACCAGCUAUGCCCGGGGCCUCCGGCCACGACUGCCAGCCUGCCUCCUCGCUCUCGCUCUGUCUCGGAGCAGAGGCUGAGCUGGAUGGAAGGAGGGCAGGGUGUCAGGGGGGCGGGCGGGAGGGAGGGGAGGGGGCGUGUGGAAAUGAAACUUUAAUAACAGAGCCCCUUUUGUUUCCGAGCAUAUGGGAUAUUUCAUACAUACUGAAGACAUUAGCCGUCUAUAUUUUUAAGGGCUCCGGCUAAAGGAUGAAUAAAUACAGCCCAUAUUCCACUCUGCAAACACGCACAUGCAGAGUGCUCGCUUCUGGAGCAUUUCAAAACCCAAAGAGAAAGGCCCCAGUGACACUGGACACUUAAAAAUAAAUAUGUUUCCAAAACCUCCAGCUCGCCUUGCCCCUCUUACAGCCACCUGGAGGCCGUGGGGCUCCUUUCCUCCUGUCACCCUCCCCGCAUCCUCUCUACCUUCUACUUCGGGGUAGGGAAGCAAGGCCCUGGAAUCCCGUCUCCAUCCUGGUUCUCUUUCCCAGGACCCCCUAGCCC